GGAUCAGUGGCGAACGGGUGAGUAACACGUGAGCAACCUGCCCUGAACUCUGGGAUAAGCGCUGGAAACGGCGUCUAAUACUGGAUAUGAGCUGCGGAGGCAUCUUCGUGGUUGGAAAGAUUUUUCGGUUUGGGAUGGGCUCGCGGCCUAUCAGCUUGUUGGUGAGGUAAUGGCUCACCAAGGCGUCGACGGGUAGCCGGCCUGAGAGGGUGACCGGCCACACUGGGACUGAGACACGGCCCAGACUCCUACGGGAGGCAGCAGUGGGGAAUAUUGCACAAUGGGCGGAAGCCUGAUGCAGCAACGCCGCGUGAGGGAUGACGGCCUUCGGGUUGUAAACCUCUUUUAGCAGGGAAGAAGCGAAAGUGACGGUACCUGCAGAAAAAGCGCCGGCUAACUACGUGCCAGCAGCCGCGGUAAUACGUAGGGCGCAAGCGUUAUCCGGAAUUAUUGGGCGUAAAGAGCUCGUAGGCGGUUUGUCGCGUCUGCUGUGAAAACCCGAGGCUCAACCUCGGGCCUGCAGUGGGUACGGGCAGACUAGAGUGCGGUAGGGGAGAUUGGAAUUCCUGGUGUAGCGGUGGAAUGCGCAGAUAUCAGGAGGAACACCGAUGGCGAAGGCAGAUCUCUGGGCCGUAACUGACGCUGAGGAGCGAAAGGGUGGGGAGCAAACAGGCUUAGAUACCCUGGUAGUCCACCCCGUAAACGUUGGGAACUAGUUGUGGGGUCCAUUCCACGGAUUCCGUGACGCAGCUAACGCAUUAAGUUCCCCGCCUGGGGAGUACGGCCGCAAGGCUAAAACUCAAAGGAAUUGACGGGGACCCGCACAAGCGGCGGAGCAUGCGGAUUAAUUCGAUGCAACGCGAAGAACCUUACCAAGGCUUGACAUACACGAGAACGCUGCAGAAAUGUAGAACUCUUUGGACACUCGUGAACAGGUGGUGCAUGGUUGUCGUCAGCUCGUGUCGUGAGAUGUUGGGUUAAGUCCCGCAACGAGCGCAACCCUCGUUCUAUGUUGCCAGCACGUAAUGGUGGGAACUCAUGGGAUACUGCCGGGGUCAACUCGGAGGAAGGUGGGGAUGACGUCAAAUCAUCAUGCCCCUUAUGUCUUGGGCUUCACGCAUGCUACAAUGGCCGGUACAAAGGGCUGCAAUACCGCGAGGUGGAGCGAAUCCCAAAAAGCCGGUCCCAGUUCGGAUUGAGGUCUGCAACUCGACCUCAUGAAGUCGGAGUCGCUAGUAAUCGCAGAUCAGCAACGCUGCGGUGAAUACGUUCCCGGGUCUUGUACACACCGCCCGUCAAGUCAUGAAAGUCGGUAACACCUGAAGCCGGUGGCCCAACCCUUGUGGAGGGAGCCGUC
rnacentral:rRNA from 1 species